rnacentral:rRNA from 1 species
GACGAACGCUGGCGGCGUGCUUAGCACAUGCAAGUCGAGCGGUAAGGCCCUUUCGGGGGUACACGAGCGGCGAACGGGUGAGUAACACGUGGGUGACCUGCCCUCAGCUCUGGGAUAAGCCCGGGAAACUGGGUCUAAUACCGGAUAUGACUCCAUGACGCAUGUUGUGGGGUGGAAAGCCUUGUGCGGCUGAGGAUGGGCCCGCGGCCUAUCAGCUUGUUGGUGGGGUGANGGCCUACCAAGGCGACGACGGGUAGCCGGCCUGAGAGGGCGACCGGCCACACUGGGACUGAGAUACGGCCCAGACUCCUACGGGAGGCAGCAGUGGGGAAUCUUGCGCAAUGGGCGAAAGCCUGACGCAGCGACGCCGCGUGAGGGAUGACGGCCU